CUCAAGCAUCAGUGUUGCCUUUUUCUUCUUGUGCCCACAAGGAAAUUCGGAAUUGUGUUCGCCUCAAUUUCUGUACCCAUCUUUGCAGCUCUGUAUUGUCCAACAAAACUUUGAUCAAUGGCGGGAUCAGGUAGAAUAAACCAAAAUAG